rnacentral:misc_RNA from 1 species
UACAGAGGGUGCAAGCGUUAAUCGGAGUUACUGGGCGUAAAGGGCGCGUAGGCGGUCAGAUGAGUGUGAUGUGAAAGCCCCGGGCUUAACCUGGGAAGUGCAUCGCAAACGAUCUGACUGGAGUAGAUGAGAGGGUGGCGGAAUUUCCGGUGUAGCGGUGAAAUGCGUAGAGAUCGGAAGGAACGUCAAUGGCGAAGGCAGCCACCUGGCAUCAUACUGACGCUGAUGCGCGAAAGCGUGGGUAGCGAACAGG